ensembl:lincRNA 4933417E11Rik RIKEN cDNA 4933417E11 gene
AGUCCUGCAUACUGGGAAGGGUGGGAUGCAGGAAUGGAGUCCAGAGGCUCUGGCUGCAACACACCAUGGUUCUGGCACUAAGCAAGAGCUGACCUUUCCUAAGUCAAUAUUGGAAACUCCCCUCCAGGAGAGUCCUGUGGUGUGAGGUCUGAGCACACACUGAAACUUCCGCGGAGAUCCACAGGUACCAGGAAAGCUAACAGCCAAACAGUGAACCACUGUGUGAUUCAUCCAGCCCAUAUGGAGACUUUGCCAAGGACCUCUUUUCCUCAGAUGAGCAGACCCUUCGAGAGACAAGCAUAUUCUGGUAUCUCUGAUUCAGAAUCUAUGUUUCUGGAUGCAGCUAGAGGCACAGUGCUAAACUUCUCGGCACCUUGGUAUUCUAAGAUGAUGUCACUCUUCUGUAGAUGGAUGGAUUAACUAUCAUGAUACCUACUCAGAGUUUAAGAGCAUCCCGUAAAAGGAGAUACAUUCAUACACAGUUUUCAGCUACAGUGAGUGAUGUCCACCUUGAAAGAGUCUUGGACUCUGGAGAAUAAUGUACACUGGACAUUCUUGAUGUGGUAAAGAUCGAUGUGUGCUCAAUCUCACGUGGGAACAGCCAGAAGACACCGAAAGGAAGAGUUGCACAAACCCAACGAUCAGUGGAUAUAAACACCUUGAAAGCCACUCACGAGACAAACAUCAAACAGACAGGAUUCUGGUAGAAGUCACUCCACUCAGCACAUCCUGCGCACAGAAACCUUACUCUCCUCGGCCAAGUCUUACAAUCGUGAAUUUACUUCCUUCACAUUUGCUUCUGGAAGGUGGAGGGAGGCCCAUAAAGUUCAGUAAAGAAAGGAAACUUACAGGAGUGAACAGACUCAUAGGGGCUAAGUAAGCUCUUUAGAAUUAACAAAAGUCACAAGUCUCCUCCCCAAAGUUAUGUAUUGAGUAAUGAUUGCUAAGGAGAGGCAAUUGCCUAAGGAACAGAGUUCUGGUUGAACUCCAGAGAUUCAUGCAUUUUCAUGAAUCAUCAGCUAUACUGGGUUGGAUUUUUGGUGGUCCAGCUGCCUUUGAAUCAUCGAGUAGAAGAUCAAUAAACUCAUUGGUUUGC